rnacentral:rRNA from 1 species
AUUGAACGCUGGCGGCAGGCCUAACACAUGCAAGUCGAGCGGAGCGUCGGACGGGUGAGUAAUGCCUAGGCAUCUGCCUGGUAGCGGGGGAUAACGUACGGCAACGGGCGCUAAUACCGCAUACUAUCAGAUGAGCCUAGGUCGGUUUCGCUAGUGGGUGGGGUAAUGGCCUACCAAGGCGACGAUCCGUAACUGGUCUGAGAGGAUGAUCAGGCACACUGGAACUGAGACAGGGUCCAAACUCCAACGGGAGGCGGCAGUGGGGAAUAUUGGAAAAUGGGCGAAAGCCUACUCCAGCCAUGCCGGGUGUGUGAAGAAGGUCUUCGGAUGGAAAAGCACUUUAAGUUGGGAGGCGUUACCAACAGAAUAAGCACCGGCUAACUACGUGCCAGCAGCCGCGGUAAUAC